rnacentral:rRNA from 1 species
GAUGAACGCUGGCGGCGUGCCUAAUACAUGCCAGUCGAGCGAACAGACGAGGAGCUUGCUCCUCUGACGUUAGCGGCGGACGGGUGAGUAACACGUGGAUAACCUACCUAUAAGACUGGGAUAACUUCGGGAAACCGGAGCUAAUACCGGAUAAUAUAUUGAACCGCAUGGUUCAAUAGUGAAAGACGGUUUUGCUGACACUUAUAGAUGGAUCCGCGCCGCAUUAGCUAGUUGGUAAGGUAACGGCUUACCAAGGCAACGAUGCGUAGCCGACCUGAGAGGGUGAUCGGCCACACUGGAACUGAGACACGGUCCAGACUCCUACGGGAGGCAGCAGUAGGGAAUCUUCCGCAAUGGGCGAAAGCCUGACGGAGCAACGCCGCGUGAGUGAUGAAGGUCUUCGGAUCGUAAAACUCUGUUAUUAGGGAAGAACAAAUGUGUAAGUAACUAUGCACGUCUUGACGGUACCUAAUCAGAAAGCCACGGCUAACUACGUG